rnacentral:rRNA from 1 species
CCUACGGGUGGCUGCAGUGGGGGAUAUUGCACAAUGGGGGGAACCCUGAUGCAGCGACGCCGCGUGGGUGAAGAAGCGCCUCGGCGCGUAAAGCCCUGUCAGCAGGGAAGAAAAUUACGGUACCUGAAGAAGAAGCCCCGGCUAACUACGUGCCAGCAGCCGCGGUAAUACGUAGGGGGCAAGCGUUAUCCGGAUUUACUGGGUGUAAGGGGGCGCAGACGGCGAUGCAAGCCAGGAGUGAAAGCCCGGGGCCCAACCCCCGGACUGCUUUGGAAACUGUAUGGCUGGAGUGCAGGAGAGGUAAGUGGAAUUCCUAGUGUAGCGGUGAAAUGCGUAGAUAUUAGGAAGAACACCAGUGGCGAAGGCGGCUUACUAAACUGUAACUGACAUUGAGGCUCGAAAGCGUGGGGAGCAAACAGGAUUAGAUACCCGUGUAGUC